rnacentral:lncRNA from 1 species
GAGACAGAAUGUCAGUUUUGAAAUAUAGGAGUUCGAGAUUAGAAACCUAAUACUUUUGUUAUGAAUUAUGCUAAAACGGUAAAAAAAUUUUCAAAAUAUAGUUGUCUCAAAUACACUCUUCUCAGAUAACAGAAGGCCAGGCAAGGGCACUGACUUGAAGGGAAACAAACCACAGUAAUAUGACUGCCUGAAAGUAACUAUGGAAUUCAGUUUCUCAAAGUGAUUACUUCUUCUAAUCUUCAUAUUGAUGACUCACUAGUACAUUUACUUUGAUGGGUUUAAUCAACUCUGAUAACAUAGUUCCAAACACUUAAAAGGACCUGAUUUAUGUAUUAAAUAAAGGUUAAUUUGUUCUUGAGAAAUUGACAAAAGAUUUGGUCAAACGUAAAUGAAUAUGCAAUAAGUCACAUAAGUCUGUGUGUAUAUACAUAUAUGACUUUAAUUUUAUAAGUGCAUGUGUAUACGCACACCUUUAGCUCAUUUAAAUAAAAAGCUAUCCAAUGUUUUAUGUCCAUUAUGUCCCCCGUUAACAUUGAGCAAAAUGUUAACCCCUACUAUAUAUGCAAGGGAAAUAAAUUAAGUUGUUAUAUAGAAACCCUUGACACUAUAUGCAAUUUCUUAUGUCCCAUAUUCUGAUAAUAUCUGUCCUCUUGGCUCUUACUUCUUGGAAUUUCUCAUAAACACGGAAGCUUCAUGACAAAUUGUGUAAAUCAUCAUUUCCUCCUUUAUGAAGUAUAUUGAAGACAAAAGGGAUUAAAGUCAUUUCACAUUUAGCAAAGCUAUUUUAUGGCAACAUUGUUACAACACAAAAUAGACAUUGCAGUUUACAAUUAACAAUUACACAGUGAUUUCAUAACAAUACUACUUACUCCAAUUAACAAAAUAUUUCUUUAUAAAAAAUAUGUUCAAAAGGAGGUUUACAUUCACUUCUUCGUUUAAUAUCAAGGUUGUUAACAAUGGUCUUAGGAGAUGCAAAGACGAAAAACUACUUACCUUAAAAAUCUGUAUUCUUGAAGAUAUAUACUCCACUUGAAUAAGAUACUGCUCAAGGUUUAGGCUUCCUGGAGAACUCAGAGGAUUUUGUAGUUGUACUUAAUAUACUCAAUAGCCAAAUUUCCUAAACUUUCAUAAUUUUGCUAACCAAGGGCCCUUAACAAAGUUAAAAGACACCACAGGGUUCAAAAGUGAACAAAUAUGUUGUUUUUGUUUUAAGACGGAGUCUCAUUCUUGUCACCUAGGCUGGAGUGCAGUGGCGCAAUCUCUGCUCACUGCAACCUCCAUCUCCCGGGUUUAAGUGAUUCUCACACCUCAGCCUUCCGAGUAGCUGGGAUUACAGGCGCGCGCCACCAAGCCCAGCUAAUUUUUACAUUUUUAGUAGAAAUGGGGUUUCACCAUGUUGGCCACGCUGGUCUCAAACUCCUGACCUCAAGAGAUCCGCCCGCCUCGGCCUCCCAAAGUGCUGGGAUUACAGGCAUGCGCCACUGUGCCUGGUCACAAAUAUGUUAAUGAGCCAAUUAAGAUGGUGCUGCUCAAAUGAUUCUAAUUCAGGAAACUUAGGUUGCAGCUAGGUAAUCUCUAGUUCUCUAAAGAAUAAUACCCAAAUGACAGGAUUUAUGUGUUGAUGCAAUAAUAGCUCAGUCUGUUUCAUGACCUAGCUAGAGUCAGAAUUGGAGCGGUGGCUAUAGCACAGGGGUGGCUUUCUCCUCUCUGAAGGAAAAGUAAAGAAGUAAGAAGAAAGAGGUUGAAAGAACAGCCUACACAGUUGUUGCCCAGAUCUCAAAAUUAGCAACAAGUAUGUCAGCUGUCCUAAUUAUUACCAAACAGGUCCUGGGAGUGUCUGACACACAACAUAAUAUAGGUGCAAUCAGUUCCAGAAUCUGGUUCCUGGAUCUGAACUAAUUUAGCUAUAAGACCUUCAGCAAGACCAUCUCUAUGGCCUGCAUCUCUCUCCUAUAGGUUUGACAAAGAUUCACCUAUGAGUUUGAUGAAGACAGGCUAGGUAUGGCCCUCAAUAAGAAUUUAUUCUGACUGGGAGAUUUAAAACUGUAAAUGCUUGCCGGGCGUGGUGGCUCACGCCUGUAAUCCCAGCACUCUGAGAGGCCGAGGCGGGCGGAUCAUGAGGUCGGGAGAUCGAGACCAUCCUGUAUAACACAGUGAAACCCUGUCUCUACUAAAAAGUACAAAAAAAUUAGCCGGGCGUAGUGGCGGGCGCCUGUAGUCCCAGCUACUCGGGAGACUGAGGCAGGAGAAUGGCGUGAACCCACGAAGCGGAGCUUGCAGUGAGCCGAGAUUGUGCCACUGCACUUGGGGACAGAGCGAGACUCUGUCUUAAAAAAAAAACAAAACAAAACUGUAAAUGCUUGAGUUCUACCUCCUCCAGAUUCUAAUUUUAUUUAAUUGGACAUCUGGUUAUUGUAUUUUUUAACUCCUCAGGUUAUGUAAUAAUACGCAUCCAGUGUUGAGGAACACUGACAAAAAGGUUAGAGUUCAGUGAGACACUGAGGCCUCUUCAGUACAUAAAAAUAGGGUUGGAAGUUAGCAUCUUGACACUCUUUGGGGGAUUCUAUAUCUCUUCACUUGCCAUUAAGUGAAACGUUCAGAAAUUUAAGAGUCAACAAUGCCACCAUUACUGCUGUCAAAGUCCUUCAGUGAUUAAAAAGAUACCAGAAAGAUACCCUGAUCCCUUGAUCAUCUGGUGGUGUUAAACUACUUCAGUAAGAACAAAAGAUGUGCUUUCCAAGGGUGGAGACAUCCAACUUGUAUUCAGUUCCCCAUUACAUUCUGGAUUUGGGUCAAUGAAAGAAGCAUCCAUUGGGGUGAUAGCUAAGGCGUGUCCUCGCCACAAUUAACACUUUUGAAGCCCAUUUAUCCCUGAUGGUCAAUUACACACUAAGAACUUCCUUUUUUUUUUUUUUUUGAGACUGAGUCUCGCUCUUUCACCAGGCCGGAGUGCAGUGGCACUAUCUCAGCUCACUGCAAGCUCCGCCUCCUGGGUUCAGGCCAUUCUCCUGCCUCAGCCUCCCGAGUAGCUGGGACUACAGGCACCCGCCACCGCGCCCAGCUAAUUUGUUGUAUUUUUAGUAGAGAUGGGGUUUCACCGUGUUAGCCAAGAUGGUCUCGAUCUCCUGAUCUCGUGAUCCACCCACCUCGGCCUCCCAAAGUGCUGGGAUUACAGGCAUGAGCCACCGCGCCCGGCCAAGAACUUCCUUUUAAGAUUUGCCCUGAAGGGCCCUAGAGCAUUUCCUCUUCCAUGCAGAGAAUCAGAAAGCUUGGAUUCUAGCUCUAGCUCCCAACAAUUAGCUGUAUGUAAUUGAUGAUGGGUGACUUCAUUAGUGUCAAAGCCAAAGCAUAUUCUCUGUCAGCUUUUCAAAAAAACACGCAGUAAAGAGAGAUUCCUACCAGGAAAACUUUGAUGGGUGUUUUUCAAGUGUCAUCUCACAGCAGAAGAUGCCCCAAGUGGUCAAACCUUGCCAACAGCUUCAAAAAAAGGUAACUAGGAUUUAACUUUACGGUGCAUUUUGAUGUUUCCCUUUGUGUCAUAUCUGAUGAUAAAAGAACCUUAAAAAAAAAAAAAAAAAACACUAUCCAGCUUCUCCAUUCUGUCUCCUGCUUUACUUUCUCUUGUUUACAAAAUACAAAUUUAUAGCUGGAUUUGAUGCUGAAAAUUUAAUACAGUUACCUCAUGUCACAGAUAAAGAACAGAAAUGACUUGACCAAGUUCAC